UCCGAAAUGUAAUUUUAUUAUAUAGAUAAGUGGGAAUUAUAUUGCAGAUAACUUUAUGAUAGACACACGUAGAGUGUAUCGAUAUAAGGUUUUCUAAAUUGAGCCAACAAGUUUCUUACAGCUUUGAUGAGAUUCUGUUCCUUCUAAGUACCCCAUGAACAUUUUCUUGUUUCUAAUUGUGAGGCUUUGACCAUAGACUACAUCUGCAUAGUUCCAAGAUUAAAGAACGAGACUGUUACAUGGAGUAAUUCUUGUGUUUUUAGGAAGAAAUAUUUGAUUUCCUUCAAUCAGCUUGAGUGAGAGGUAGGUUUAAGCUCAAUAAAUUGUUUUCAACCGCAGUCACACCUUUUCCAAAUCACUUUCUGCAAAACUUUUGACUGUAUUCCAACAAGAAGAAAAUGUGUCUCUGAAAAAAUAAAGAGUACAAAAAAAACUGCUUCAACAGAUCGGGAACAUCAGAAUAAAAUAAAACUGUGCAGCAGCAAGAGAAUGGAACCGUCUAAUUGGGUUUGUUGAACCAGCUCAUCAGAAAGCGAGUGAUCUUGAUCAAGUAUGUUUUGAAUGGAGUAUUCAUAUAAUACGGAAAACAAGAAAUGCUAUUGCUCCAGCAGGGAGACCAAGUAUAUUGUAUGCGAUGCCUUCCCUUUAUGGAGUUACAGAUCACCUCAUCAAGAUUGCAUCAUUCGCUUUUAAACAUUUUUCGUCGAAGUGUACAUAUCCCCGUACAGCCUGUGAUGAAUAUUUUUGGAAAUUAUGUUCAAUUUUUAUGAAAAAAAUAAUUACACAAGGUCCCUAGAUCCUUAUGCCACAAUUAAUUUAUACAUUAAUCUGAGAAGUGAAUUAAUUAUGUUAU